rnacentral:rRNA from 1 species
AUUGAACGCUGGCGGCAUGCCUAACACAUGCAAGUCGAGCGAGCGGCGGACGGGUGAGUAAUGUAUGGGGACCUGCCUGAUAGAGGGGGAUAACUACUGGAAACGGUGGCUAAUACCGCAUACUAUCGGAUGAACCCAGAUGGGAUUAGCUAGUAGGUGGGGUAAAGGCUCACCUAGGCGACGAUCCCUAGCUGGUCUGAGAGGAUGAUCAGCCACACUGGAACUGAGACACGGUCCAGACUCCGACGGGAGGCAGCAGUGGGGAAUAUUGCACAAUGGGCGAAAGCCUGAUGCAGCCAUGCCGCGUGUAUGAAGAAGGCCUUCGGAUUGUAAAGUACUUUCAGCGGGGAGGCGUUACCCACAGAGGAAGCACCGGCUAACUCCGUGCCAGCAGCCGCGGUAAUAC